rnacentral:sRNA from 1 species
GCUUUCAACAUCCCCGUUCUGCUCGGGAUUUUUUUAAAUUCCAACCGAAGCAGGACUGAAGGC